rnacentral:lncRNA from 1 species
CAUCCCACCAGAUCGCAGAAGAAUCAGAAGCUUUUGUAUUUACUCACCAUCUGUCCGCAGUAUAGAAUACUGAGUUUCAACUCCUUCAAUCCUGCUCCUUGUGCUUUCAGAAAAUAGACUCACGACUGAUAAGCUACCCCCAAGUUUCUUGACUGCAAAUCAUUGAUUGUACCUUCAUUCCUGGGGAUAUCUGGGUCUUGAUUGAUGAUGUUCUUGAGCAGAAUGGUAUCAUCAACCCAAUUUAACCUACUAAUGCCCUCUGAAAAGCUGUUUGCUUUGUCUGCCCUUCCUGCCCUGUGAAGACCGUGAAUGAGAGUCCUGCAGGUACUAAUGCUAAGCCUAAAUGGCUGUGCAUUGGCUUCAUCAAGCAAUUUGAAGUCUUCAAGGACACUCUCAGUUUCACACAUGGAAUCAACCAGCAAUGCAUAUAUGGUUUCACUUACUUUUGC